AUGAACGCGAACGCAACAGUUGUGGACCGCCUGGCACUUGGAACCGAGUAACGGCCGGAAGCUGUAACUUUUAAAAGCAAUUAAACUUUUCUGAUCAUUGUAAAGCGUAAUGCAUAGCUUCAACCCUUUGCACUCGAGAGGUACCGUAGUAUAUGCUGCGAAGGUCGCAGUACCUUCGGUGAGGACGGAAGAUGCAACAAAGAGGAUGCACGCGAAACAAGCCUGGAAAAACGAACAAAGACGAACGCAACAGUUGUGAAUCUCAUAGCGUGGCGACGACGAUUGCCACUUCAGGAUUCCGCGGAAGACGAGGAAAAAUGGUCUAAGACGUUUUAUUUGAACUUCAUAUUUUUAUAAAUCAUAUCACUGGUACGCGAUGUCCAGCCCUUCCGUCGAGUUCAUCCCAUCUGCAAAAUAAAGUUAAAAAUGAAACUGUUCGUUAGCUUGAACAAGCAUCCCUUUAUUUAAGUUUCCAACCUCAGUCGAAAAUGAAACCAGAGAUAAAAAUAUAACCUAAGGUAGUAUGGAGAUGGAAAUAAUUUUUCUUAAUGAUUGUGACAGAUAAGUUCUUGUUGGUUAAAAUAAAUUAGACAUAUUUUUGUUUUGAAUAAAGUUUAGCGUCACAUCAACUGCAUCUAAUUGUAAAUCAGU